rnacentral:rRNA from 1 species
UCACCGCCUACCAAAUCCCGACAAACUCCGAAUGCCAGUAGUAUGAUUUACAGCAGUGAGCCACCGGGUGCUAAUGUCCGGUGACAAAAGAGGAACAACUCAGACCAGCAACUAAGGUCCCCAAGCGUAUGCUAAGUUGAACUAACGAUGUUUUGUUGCAUAGACAGCUAGGAUGUUAGCUUGGAAGCAGCUAUUCAUUCAAAGAGUGCGUAACAGCUCACUAGUCGAGCGACAAAGCGUGGAUAAUAAACGGGCAUCAAGCAUACCACCGAAGUUCUGGGCGCGAAAGCGCGGUAGGGGAGCAUUCCAUUCAGCGUUGAAGCAGCGUCGUGAGAUGUUGUGGAGCGUAUGGAAAAGCAAAUGUAGGCAUGAGUAACGAUAAUGCGGGAGAGUAACCCGCACACCGCAAGACCAAGGUUUCCUGAUCAACGCUAAUCGGAUCAGGGUUAGUCGGGUCCUAAGGGUAAGCCGAACGGCGAUCUCGAUGGAUAAUCGGUUAAUAUUCCGAUACUGACAUAUACCUCGAUGGAGAGACGAAAUCGCGUAAGUACCGCCUCCUGACGGAAUAGGAGGUUAAAGGGCGUAUGUAUAGGGGCAGAUUAAGAGUCAGUCCUUGCUGAAACCCGACAGUACAGAGAGCCUACGGGCAAUUUGAUAGUGUACCCAAGCAUGUUUCCGAGAAAAUCUUCUAAGUUAUAGUAUAUGUCACCCGUACCGUAAACCGACACAGGUGGUCGAGGAGAGUAUCCUAAGGUGCUGAGUGAAUCACGGUUAAGGAACUAGGCAAAUUGACCCCGUAACUUCGGGAAAAGGGGUCCCUACGCGAGUAGGGCGCAGCGAAGAGGUCCAGGCGACUGUUUAUCAAAAACACAGGGCUCUGCAAAUUCGAAAGAAGACGUAUAGGGCCUGACACCUGCCCGGUGCUGGAAGGUUAAGAGGGGAUGUCAUCGCAAGAGAAGCAUUGAAUCGAAGCCCCAGUAAACGGCGGCCGUAACUAUAACGGUCCUAAGGUAGCGAAAUUCCUUGUCGGGGAAGUUCCGACCUGCACGAAUGGUGUAACGAUCUGGACACUGUCUCAACCGUGAGCUCGGUGAAAUUGUAGUCCCGGUGAAGAUGCCGGGUACCCGCAACGGGACGAAAAGACCCCGUGAACCUUUACUGCAGCUUAGCGCUGAAUUUGGGUACACAAUGUGUAGGAUAGGCAGGAGACACUGAAGCGGGUACGCCAGUAUUCGUGGAGUCGACGUUGAAAUACUGCCCUUUGUGUAUCUGAGUUCUAACCCGCGAGGGAGACACCGCUUGGUGGGUAGUUUGACUGGGGUGGUCGCCUCCAAAAGCGU